AACGAACGCUGGCGGCAGGCCUAACACAUGCAAGUCGAGCGAGGACUUCGGUCCUAGCGGCGGACGGGUGAGUAACGCGUGGGAACGUGCCCUUUGCUUCGGAAUAGCCCUGGGAAACUGGGAGUAAUACCGGAUGAGCCCUUUGGGGGAAAGAUUUAUCGGCGAAGGAUCGGCGCGCGUUGGAUUAGGUAGUUGGUGGGGUAAUGGCCUACCAAGCCGACGAUCCAUAGCUGGUUUGAGAGGAUGAUCAGCCACACUGGGACUGAGACACGGCCCAGACUCCUACGGGAGGCAGCAGAGGGUAAUCUUAGACAAUGGGGGAAAUCCUGAUCGAGCCAUGCCGCGUGAGCGAUGAAGGCCUUAGGGUUGUAAAGCUCUUUCAGCUGGGAAGAUAAUGACGGUACCAGCAGAAGAAGCCCCGGCUAACUCCGUG
rnacentral:rRNA from 1 species